rnacentral:misc_RNA from 1 species
GAUGAAGAACGUAGCGAAAUGCGAUAAGUAAUGUGAAUUGCAGAAUUCAGUGAAUCAUCGAAUCUUUGAACGCACCUUGCGCCCUUUGGCCAUUCCGAAGGGCAUGCCUGUUUGAGUAUCAUGAACACCUCAACUCUUCAUGGUUUUCCGUGAUGAGCUUGGACUUUGGGGGUCUUGCUGGCCUAUGGUCAGCUCCUCUAAAAUAAAUCAGCUUGCCAGUGUUUGGUGGGUAUCACAGGUGUGAUAACUAUCUACGCUUGUGGUUUUCCACCAGGUAACCUUCAGCAGUGGAGGUUCGCUGGAGCUCACAGAUGUGUCUCUCCUCAGUGAGGACAGCUCUUUGAAUGUUUGAUCUCAAAUCAGGUAGGACUACCCGCUGAACUCAAGCAUAUCAAUAAGCGGAGGA